rfam:Beta vulgaris subsp. vulgaris contig91039.1, whole genome shotgun sequence.
CGCGGGGUAGAGCAGCUUGGUAGCUCGUAAGGCUCAUAACCUUGAGGUCACAGGUUCAAAUCUUGUAUACGCAA